rnacentral:rRNA from 1 species
CCUACGGGAGGCAGCAGUGGGGGAUAUUGCACAAUGGGGGAAACCCUGAUGCAGCGACGCCGCGUGUGGGAAGACGGUCCUCUGGAUUGUAAACCACUGUCCCCAGGGACGAAGAUGACGGUACCUGGGGAGGAUGCUCCGGCUAACUACGUGCCAGCAGCCGCGGUAAUACGUAGGGAGCGAGCGUUGUCCGGAAUUACUGGGGGUAAAGGGAGCGUAGGCGGGACGGCAAGUCGUGUGUCAAAUCUACCUGCUCAACCGGUAUCCGCACUCAAAACUGCAGUUCUUGAGGGAAGUAGAGGCAGGCGGAAGUCCUAGUGUAGCGGUGAAAUGCGGAGAUAUUAGGAGGAACACCAGUGGCGAAGGCGGCCUGCUGGGCUUUUACUGACGCUGAGGCUCGAAAGUGUGGGGAGCAAACAGGAUUAGAUACCCGGGUGGUC